UCCUUAGACGUUCUGGGCCGCACGCGCGCUACACUGACCAGUGCAACAAGCAUCCGUCCUUGGCCGACAGGCCCGGGCAAUCUUUGAACGCUGGUCGUGAUGGGGAUAGACUUUUGCAAUUUUUGGUCUUCAACGAGGAAUUCCUAGUAAACGCAAGUCAUCAACUUGCAUUGAUUACGUCCCUGCCCUUUGUACACACCGCCCGUCGCACCUACCGAUUGAAUGGUCCGGUGAAGCCUCCGGAUUGGCGCGCACCUCGGUGCCGCCGAGAAGUUGGCUAAACCUUACCAUUUAGAGGAAGGUGAAGUCGUANCA
rnacentral:rRNA from 1 species